ACGCUGAUGGCUCAGUGGUUAAGCACUUGGCUGCUAACCAAAAAGUCACUGGUUUGAACCUGCUAGGCGCU
rnacentral:tRNA from 1 species